CUGGCGGUUUGCUUAAUACAUGCAAGUCGUACGAGGGCUUUUAGCCCUAGUGGCGGACGGGUGAGUAACACGUGAGAAUCUGCCCUUAGGAGGAGGAUAACAGCUGGAAACGGUUGCUAAUACUCCAUAUGCCGGGAGGUGAAAGGAUUUAUCCACCUAAGGAGGAGCUCGCGUCUGAUUAGCUAGUUGGUGGGGUAAAGGCUUACCAAGGCGACGAUCAGUAGCUGGUUUGAGAGGAUGAUCAGCCACACUGGGACUGAGACACGGCCCAGACUCCUACGGGAGGCAGCAGUAGGGAAUUUUCCGCAAUGGGCGAAAGCCUGACGGAGCAAUACCGCGUGAGGGAUGACGGCCUGUGGGUUGUAAACCUCUUUUCUCAAGGAAGAAGUUCUGACGGUACUUGAGGAAUAAGCAUCGGCUAACUCUGUGCCAGCAGCCGCGGUAAUACAGAGGAUGCAAGCGUUAUCCGGAAUCACUGGGCAUAAAGCGUCUGUAGGUUGUUUAGUAAGUCUGCUGUUAAAGACUGGGGCUUAACCCCAGAAAAGCAGUGGAAACUGCUAGAACUCGAGUGUGGUAGAGGUAGAGGGAAUUCCUAGUGUAGCGGUGAAAUGCGUAGAUAUUAGGAAGAACACCAAUGGCGAAGGCACUCUACUGGGCCAUAACUGACACUGAGAGACGACAGCUAGGGGAGCAAACGGGAUUAGAUACCCCGGUAGUCCUAGCCGUAAACGAUGGAUACUAGAUGUUGCACGUAUUAACCCGUGCAGUAUCGUAGCUA
rnacentral:rRNA from 1 species